UACGAAGGGGGCUAGCGUUGUUCGGAAUUACUGGGCGUAAAGCGCGCGUAGGCGGAUUGUUAAGUUAGGGGUGAAAUCCCAGGGCUCAACCCUGGAACUGCCUUUAAUACUGGCAAUCUCGAGUCCGAGAGAGGUGAGUGGAAUUCCGAGUGUAGAGGUGAAAUUCGUAGAUAUUCGGAGGAACACCAGUGGCGAAGGCGGCUCACUGGCUCGGUACUGACGCUGAGACGCGAAAGCGUGGGGAGCAAACAGG
rnacentral:rRNA from 1 species